GAAUCGCCAGCUGGCCGAGAUGGAGGCUGAGAGGGACAGCGCAACCUCGAGGGCCAGGCAGCUGCAGAAGGCGGUGGCUGAGAGUGAGGAAGCCCGGCGCAGUGUGGAUGGGCGGCUGAGCGGGGUCCAGGCGGAGCUGGCGCUGCAGGAGGAGAGUGUGCGGCGCAGUGAGCGGGAGCGCCGGGCCACGCUGGACCAGGUGGCCACACUGGAGAGGAGCCUGCAGGCCACUGAGAGCGAGCUCCGGGCCAGCCAGGAGAAGAUCAGCAAGAUGAAGGCCAAUGAGACAAAGCUGGAGGGCGACAAGCGGCGCCUGAAGGAGGUUCUGGACGCCUCCGAGAGCCGCACUGUCAAGCUGGAGCUGCAGCGGCGCUCGCUUGAGGGGGAGCUGCAGCGCAGCCGCCUGGGCCUCAGUGACCGCGAGGCCCAAGCCCAGGCCCUCCAGGAUCGGGUGGAUUCCCUGCAGAGACAGGUGCUGCGGCAGCGGCAGGAGGGUGAGGCUGCAGCCCUGAACACCGUCCAGAAGCUGCAAGACGAGCAGCGGCUGCUGCAGGAGCGCCUGGGAAGCCUGCAGCGCGCCCUGGCUCAGCUGGAAGCCGAGAAGCGGGAGGUGGAGCGCUCAGCCCUGCGGCUGGAGAAGGACCGUGUGGCCCUCAGGAGGACGCUGGACAAGGUGGAGCGGGAGAAGCUUCGUAGCCAUGAGGACACAGUGCGGCUGAGCGCAGAGAAGGGCCGCCUGGACCGCACCCUCACGGGGGCUGAGCUGGAGCUGGCAGAGGC
rnacentral:sRNA from 1 species